UUAGGACGAACGCUGGCGGCGUGCUUAACACAUGCAAGUUGAACGGUCCGGCAUGGAAGCUUGCUGAAGUGUCGGGUAGUAGCGGACGGGUGAGUAAUGCAUGAGAAGCUGCCAUUGGGAGGGGGACAACAGUUGGAAACGGCUGCUAAUACCCCAUAUGCCGGAAGGUGAAACGGAGUGAUCCGCCCGAUGAGGUGCUCAUGUCCUAUCAGCUUGUUGGUGAGGUAACGGCUCACCAAGGCGACGACGGGUAGCCGGCCUGAGAGGGUGACCGGCCACACUGGAACUGAGAUACGGUCCAGACUCCUACGGGAGGCAGCAGUGGGGAAUAUUGGGCAAAUGGGGGCAACCCUGACCCAGCGACGCCGCGUGAGGGAAGACGGCCUUCGGGUUGUAAACCUCUUUUGUACGGGAAGAAGGACGUGACGGUACCGUGCGAAUAAGUCCCGGCUAACUACGUGCCAGCCGCUGC
rnacentral:rRNA from 1 species